CCCACCGACGAGAACACUCCUCUUUCUCCCUCCUCUUCCUUUCUUCCAUGGUUCUGCUUGUUCCUUGUCCCUUUGCACCGUUGCUCCUUCCUCCGCCUCCAGAACCGCCGCCGCUCGUGUUUCUCCUAGAUCUGCCAGUCGAGUGCUCUCCUCAUGUCCUUUCCGUUCCUCUCCACCCACCGGAUCUGUCCCUGUUCCUUUGCCGCUUCUUCGACUCUGCAGUGAUUAUACUGUCCGUCCGUUUAGUAAAUCUAUCAUUUUCAGUGGUGUUUGUUCUUAUGGUUUUCUGUGACUCCUUUACUGCAGUAUGCGGGUUCAAUUCCGGGUUAUAUCCGGCUCGUUCUAACUCUGUUAAGUUCGAUUUUGGUCUCUUAAUCUACUGGCCUCAAGUUCCUCAGAUCUGUGUUUAUUCACUAGUACCUGAUAUAAAAAUUGACAUGGUCUCUGGUUGGAAUUAUGAAUCUGUGUCUUGUGCAUUUGCUUCCGUCUCUUGGUUGCUCAUUGUCCCAAGUUUCAUAGUUCAUUUGUCAAGAAGUUUGGAGAGUACGCAAAGUCUCAUUGAGAAUGAACUCAUAGCCUUGGUUGGUUUGGGGUCUCAUUCCUCUGUUCUCAGGUUCUUCAGUAGCAAUUAUGUUGCCUUGGCUCAUUCCUUUUCUGCAGUAUGCAGGGUUUUAUAUGUCUGUGAUUUAAAUGUGGAGGUGUAUGUAUUUUUUUCUAACCAUUGGUGGCAAUUUGGAAAGAAAAGCAACAAUAUUUGCUUCCUUACAUUGCAUCAGAUUUAUUUGGUCUCACGAAGACUUGGUUGCUCAUUGUCCCGGUAUCAUGACCUCACUGCCUUUGUUGCAGAGUGUCUAGCCCUUUUGGGCAUUUCUCAGCUGGUUUGCAAGUCAGACUGCCAUGAACUCAAUCGCCUCCUUUCAGAGAGUUGGUCUUCUGAUGUUCAUUGGAUCUUAUUAGCUAUUCGAUCCCUUAUCUUAUCUUUUGAGGAUUCACAUGUAUGUGUUGUGUUUUCUUGUGUUUGUAAUAUGGCAAGUUGUGCCUUUCUACUUUGUAUUUCCUCCGUUGAUGGAGGUUGAGACUUUAAGUUAAUGGAAUUGUUGUUUGAUCAAAAAAAGAAGAAAAAUAAGUAGGUAGUCAAGCAAAAAAACUGCAACAGUGUAAAAAGGCCUUCCUCUGACUUGUCUCUCUCUAUAAAAAGGCCAGUUCCCUCUUAGCAAGGAAUCAUUAGUCUUUUCUGUUCCAAAGAAAAACGGACCUUGAAUAAUCUUUUUCCUCCUAUAAACCCUAUACUUAAGCAAGUUCUUUUUUUUUUUUUGUUUCCCUAAGAAGAAGUAUGUGUGGAGGUGCCGUCAUUUCUGAUUUCAUCUGGUCAUUGAGACGAGCUUCGUUUGCUGAGGCAGAACCGAGUCAAGUCGGCUACGAAGGCUGUGUCUCCAUCGAGAAGCGUGUCUGCUCAGGCUCAGUUGGUGGGGAAAAAAGAAAAGAGAAGAAGAAAGAAGGCAAGAAUAAGAGAGAGAGGAAGAAUAUGUACAGAGGGAUAAGGCAGAGGCCAUGGGGCAAAUGGGCGGCUGAGAUUCGUGACCCGAGGAAAGGUGUUCGUGUCUGGCUUGGCACUUUCAAAACCGCCGAGGAAGCUGCUCGAGCCUACGACUCUGCAGCCAUUCGAAUCCGUGGCGGCAAAGCCAAACUCAAUUUCCCUAACGACGAUUCUUCUUCGACCAGAAGAAACUGCAUCAUCAAGAAGAAUAAAGAGGUAUGUGGUGGUGAUCAUUUGAUGAAUGCUUGCGAUCAGUCUCCUCCUCCUACAGACGACACGGAAAACCAACAAGUCAAACAGUUGUCGGAGGAGCUGAUGGCGUACGAGGACUACAUGGGAUUCUAUCAGAUUCCUUAUCUCGACGGCCAAUCCUCGACGGAAGAUGUUCCUCAACUCAGCCUCAUUGGUAAUCUCUGGAGCUUCCAAGACAACGUCUAAGAAUUUAUUCUCCCGGUUUAUUAUUCCUUUCGAAUUUAUCCGGUUUGCUCAUCCAAUCUUUGUUAUCAUCAUUCCUUGUUGUUUUACCAUUAACAUUUCAAGUGUAAUAAAUGAACAGUUAAAUGUUACUUUGUUUCGAUCUUAAA